rnacentral:rRNA from 1 species
UGGGGAAUUUUGCACAAUGGGGGAAACCCUGAUGCAGCGACGCCGCGUGAUUUAGAAGGCCUUCGGGUUGUAAAAAUCUUUUCUAUGGGAAGAAAAUGACAGUACCAUAGGAAUAAGGACCGGCUAAUUACGUGCCAGCAGCCGCGGUAAUACGUAAGGUCCGAGCGUUGUCCGGAAUCAUUGGGCGUAAAGGGUACGUAGGCGGGUAAGCAAGUUAGAAUUGAAAUCCUAUGGCUCAACUAUAGUAAGCUUUUAAAACUGCUCAUCUUGAGGUAUGGAAGGGAAAGUGGAAUUCCUAGUGUAGCGGUGAAAUGCGCAGAUAUUAGGAGGAAUACCGGUGGCGAAGGCGACUUUCUGGCCAUAACCUGACGCUGAGGUACGAAAGCGUGGGUAGCAAACAGG